rnacentral:rRNA from 1 species
AGAGUUUGAUCAUGGCUCAGGAUGAACGCUAGCGGCAGGCUUAACACAUGCAAGUCGAGGGGUAACAGAGAGUGCUUGCACUCUGCUGACGACCGGCGCACGGGUGAGUAACGCGUAUGCAACCUACCUUUUACAGGGGAAUAGCCCAGAGAAAUUUGGAUUAAUACCCCAUAUUAUCUUUUAUUCGCAUGAAUCAGAGAUGAAAGUUUCGACGGUAAAAGAUGGGCAUGCGUCCUAUUAGUUUGUUGGUAAGGUAAUGGCUUACCAAGACUUCGAUAGGUAGGGGCCCUGAGAGGGGGACCCCCCACACUGGUACUGAGACACGGACCAGACUCCUACGGGAGGCAGCAGUGAGGAAUAUUGGACAAUGGAGGAAACUCUGAUCCAGCCAUGCCGCGUGCAGGAUGAAUGCCCUAUGGGUUGUAAACUGCUUUUAUACAGGAAGAAACAUUUCCACGUGUGGAAACUUGACGGUACUGUAAGAAUAAGGAUCGGCUAACUCCGUGCCAGCAGCCGCGGUAAUACGGAGGAUCCAAGCGUUAUCCGGAAUUAUUGGGUUUAAAGGGUCCGUAGGUGGUUAUUUAAGUCAGAGGUGAAAUCCUGCCGCUUAACGGUAGAACUGCCUUUGAUACUGAUUAACUUGAGUUAUUGUGAAGUAGUUAGAAUAUGUAGUGUAGCGGUGAAAUGCAUAGAUAUUACAUAGAAUACCGAUUGCGAAGGCAGAUUACUAACAAUAUACUGACACUGAGGGACGAAAGCGUGGGUAGCGAACAGGAUUAGAUACCCUGGUAGUCCACGCCGUAAACGAUGGUCACUAGCUGUUUGAUUAACAUUGGUUAAUUAAGUGGCUAAGCGAAAGUGAUAAGUGACCCACCUGGGGAGUACGCUCGCAAGAGUGAAACUCAAAGGAAUUGACGGGGGCCCGCACAAGCGGUGGAGCAUGUGGUUUAAUUCGAUGAUACGCGAGGAACCUUACCAGGGCUUAAAUGUAGAUUGCAUAAGCUAGAGAUAGCUUUUUCUUCGGACUAUCUACAAGGUGCUGCAUGGUUGUCGUCAGCUCGUGCCGUGAGGUGUCAGGUUAAGUCCUAUAACGAGCGCAACCCCUAUAUUUAGUUGCCAGCACAUAAUGGUGGGGACUCUAGAUAGACUGCCCGGAAUAACCGGGAGGAAGGUGGGGAUGAUGUCAAGUCAGUAUGUCCCUUAUACCCAGGGCUACACACGUGUUACAAUGGAUAGUACAAAAAGUCGCAAUCCCGCGAGGAGGAGCCAAUCUUUAAAACUAUCCCCAGUUCAGAUUGAAGUCUGAAAUUCGACUUCAUGAAGCAGGAAUCGCUAGUAAUCGUAGGUCAGCACACUACGGUGAAUACGUUCCCGGGUCUUGUACACACCGCCCGUCAAGUCAUGGAAGUCUGCAGUACCCGAAGAUGGUAUCCUAACCGCAAGGAGGGAGCUGUUUAAGGUAAGGCAGGUAACUGGGACUAAGUCAUAACAAGGUAACCGUA